UACGUAGGGGGCUAGCGUUGUCCGGAAUCAUUGGGCGUAAAGCGCGCGUAGGUGGCUUCGUAAGUCCGUUGUGAAAGUCAAAGGCUCAACCUUUGAAAGCCGAUGGAUACUGUGGAGCUAGAGUACGGAAGAGGCGAGUGGAAUUCCUGGUGUAGCGGUGGAAUGCGCAGAUAUCAGGAGGAACACCAAUAGCGAAGGCAGCUCGCUGGGACGUUACUGACACUGAGGCGCGAAAGCGUGGG
rnacentral:rRNA from 1 species